ensembl:lncRNA
AAAGAUAGGUUAACAAGAGAAAAGCAUCACUCACUUACUUGAUUUGCUUUUGAACUGGGGAUCAAACCCAGGGCCUCAUGCAUGCUAAGCAUGCACUCUACCACUGAGCUAUACCUCUAGCCCCAUUAUGUAUUUAUUAAUAUGCAUAAGUAUGGGAGUCAUAUAAAAUGCAAAACUCUCGAGUUCUAUCCCUGGUACCCCCCAAAAAAUACAAAAUUCAAAGGCAGGGCCCUAUGGUUGAAGGUUAACUUCUCUUCUUCAUAAGGGAGAGGGAAGUGGAGCCCGUUGGCAAUUUUAGAAGGGUGGCACAUAAUUUCUAGAAGAAAUAAAUGCAUCCUGAAAACACACAGUACCCUGAGACAAAAUUCCUCUGGGCUCUGGGUGCUGGGUUUUCUCUUUAGUCUCCUCCCCUAUAAUACACCUUUAGUUUUUCUUGGUUAAUAAAAUUUCAGUAAGAAGAUUGAAGACAAUUGUAUUCCUCUUUGGUCGAUCUGGUCUCUAGAUACAUAAAGGAACCUCAGGGCAACCUUGCCCUGUGUUUUGGAAGAGAAAGAGGAUCAGAGACAGAAGAUAUUCACAAAAGAGAACUUCUAGAACUGCUUCAGAAACUGGAAAGAAUGAUAGCAGGCAGCGAAACCACUGAGCUAAUUCCCCAGCCCUUUACCAGCUUUUUCUACCACCAGUUCUGUACUAUCUCCCAUCUCCUUGAGUCCCAACACCAAAGGAUCCCAGAGUUCUCUCAUGCUCUUCCUGCCAAGUGAAGCUAUGAGAAGUCAGCCUUAUAUAAUGGGAAAAGGGCCCUCAUCAGGACCAGACACUGCUGGAAACCUGAUCUCAGACUUCCAUUGUCCAGACCAGGGAGAAAUAAAUUUCUGUUGUUUAC